rnacentral:lncRNA from 1 species
GUCAAAACUUGAAUUUGGAAUUAAAAUUAGAAAGAUUAUAUCAUAGGGAACAUGUGUACUAAGUUUCAAGUUGAUGUAACUUUAACUUCAUCAAAAACUACCUUGACAAAAAACUUUAACCUGAACUUUGCACUAUCAUUUUCUAUGUCAGUGGACCAUGAAAUUGGGUCAAAACUAUAAUUUGGCAUUAAAACUAGAAAGAUCAUAUCAUGGGGAACAUGUGUAUUAAGUUUCAAGUUGAUUGGACUUCAGCUUCAUCAAAAACUACCUCAACCAAAAACUUUAACUGGACGAACGAACGGAGGCACAGACCAAAAAACAUAAUGCCCCUCUACUAUCGUAGGUGGGGCAUAAAAAAAAAAAAUUAAUCAAUAUUUGUCUCUU